rnacentral:rRNA from 1 species
UACGUAGGGUGCAAGCGUUGUCCGGAAUUAUUGGGCGUAAAGAGCUCGUAGGCGGUUUUGUCGCGUCUGCUGUGAAAACUCGGGGCUUAACCCCGGGCCUGCAGUGGGUACGGGCAGACUAGAGUGCGGUAGGGGGAGAUUGGAAUUCCUGGUGUAGCGGUGGAAAUGCGCAGAUAUAGGAGGAACACCGGUGGCGAAGGCGGGGUCUCUGGGCCGAUACUGACACUGAGAAGCGAAAGCAUGGGGGAGCGAACAGGA